UACGUAGGUGGCGAGCGUUUGUCCGGAUUUAUUGGGCGUAAAGCGCGCGCAGGCGGUUGUCUAAGUCUGCUGUGAAAUCUCCCGGCUCAACUGGGAGGGGGCGGCGGAGACUGGGCGACUGGAGGGACCUAGAGGCCGGUGGAAUUCCCGGUGUAGUGGUGAAAUGCGUAGAGAUCGGGAGGAACACCUGUGGCGAAGGCG
rnacentral:rRNA from 1 species